rnacentral:misc_RNA from 1 species
AACGCACGAGACCUGCGGACCUGCGGAAGGAUCAUUAUAGAGUUUUCUAAACUCCCAACCCAUGUGAACUUACCUUUUGUUGCCUCGGCAGAAGUUAUAGGUCUUCUUAUAGCUGCUGCCGGUGGACCAUUAAACUCUUGUUAUUUUAUGUAAUCUGAGCGUCUUAUUUUAAUAAGUCAAAACUUUUAGCAACGGAUCUCU